GAUGAACGCUGGCGGCGUGCCUAAUACAUGCAAGUCUAUCGAACAUACGAGGAUCUUGCUCCUUUGACGUUAGCGGCGGACGGGUGAGUAAAACGUAGGUAACCUACCUAUAAGACUGGGAUAACUUCGGGAAACCGGAGCUAUUACCGGAUAAUAUUUCGAACCGCAUGUUUCGAUAGUGAAAGAUGGCUUUGCUAUCACUUAUAUAUGGACCUGCGCCGUAUUAGCUAGUUGGUAAGGUAACGGCUUACCAAGGCAACGAUACGUAGCCGACCUGAGAAGGUGAUCGGCCACACUGGAACUGAGAAACGGUCCAGACUCCUACGGGAGGCAGCAGUAGGGAAUCUUCCGCAAUGGGCGAAAGACUGACGGAGAAACGCCGCGUGAGUGAUGAAGGUAUUCGGAUCGUAAAACUCUGUUAUUAGGGAAGAACAAACGUGUAAGUAACUGUGCACGACUUGACGGUACCUAAUCAGAAAGCCACGGCUAACUACGUG
rnacentral:rRNA from 1 species